rnacentral:piRNA from 1 species
UGCAAGACUGCAUAUUUAUAAAAGAAGGUA